rnacentral:rRNA from 2 species
UACGGAGGGAGCUAGCGUUGUUCGGAAUUACUGGGCGUAAAGCGCGCGUAGGCGGCUUUGUAAGUUAGAGGUGAAAGCCCGGAGCUCAACUCCGGAACUGCCUUUAAAACUGCAUCGCUUGAAUCCAGGAGAGGUGAGUGGAAUUCCGAGUGUAGAGGUGAAAUUCGUAGAUAUUCGGAAGAACACCAGUGGCGAAGGCGGCUCACUGGACUGGUAUUGACGCUGAGGUGCGAAAGCGUGGGGAGCAAACAGG